rnacentral:lncRNA from 1 species
CUGUCCUGGCCCACUUGGUACAUAGAAAAUUUUGGAGCCCACCUACCCUACUGUAGAGCCUUUGUGCUACAGCUCAGACUCAGACGUGAAAACAUAAAUGCCAUAAUGCAAAAGCACCGAAGUCUUCUACUGGAUCUGGCCCAAGUUCCAAUCAGCGUGAUUCUGUUGGACGAAAAUCAUGAACAGUGGGCCAUUAAUCUUAUAGAAAAAAAGGGUCACCAGCAAAUCUGACCUCCACAGUGCCAGCAAAUGAAAUGUGGAUGCAGUAAUUCUGGAUGCCUCAGGACUGCUGAUUGCAGAACCUUCAUGCCUCAUAGUAAUCCUGAGAUACACCAUUUAUUCUGUCAU